AACGAACGCUGGCGGCGGGCCUAACACAUGCAAGUCGAGCGAGGACUCCGGUACUUGCGGCGGCCGGGUGUGGAACGCGUGGGAAGGUGCACUUUGCGUCGGACUAGCCAUGGGAAACUGGGAGUAAUACCGGACGAGCGCUUUGGGGGAAAGAUUUAUCGGGGCAGGUUCGUCCAGCGUUGGAUAAGGUAGUUGGUGUGGUUAUGGACGACCAAGCCGACGAUCCAUAGCUGGUUUGAGAGGAUGAUCAGCCACACUGGGACUGAGACACGGCCCAGACUCCUACGGGAGGCAGCAGUGGGGGAUCGUGGACAAUCGGGGAAACCCUGAUCUAGCCAUGCCGCGUGAGCGAUGAAGGCCUUAGGGUUGUAAAGCUCUUUCAGCUGGGAAGAUAAUGACGGUACCAGCAGAAGAAGCCCCGGCUAACUCCGUG
rnacentral:rRNA from 1 species